CGCAGGCGGUGAGUUCAAGGGAGCUGAUGGCACGAACUACAUUGUGUUGAGAGUGUCUGAUGUGAUGGCCGAGCUCUCUUAAGUGUGCGGUUUAUUACUUUGUUUCAGUUUUGAGUUCACGAUAGAGGCUAGCAUGAGUGGUAAGAUUGCUAUGUGAUAACCACUUGAUGCUGUUUCGGAUAAUUAUAGAAUUGUAUGAGCAAACCUGUUGUCCGGGUUAAAAACAUUUACCGAAUUUCUUUACAAAGAGAGCUUGAUGCUGGUUUCCCCCUACUUCUGCAUUAUGUAUGUACAUUACUGCUUGGCUGAUUGCCUAUUGUUGUGGCACUAUCUAUGUGAAAGGGUCCUAGACAUCUAUCUUCCUGUGAGUGGGCUAAACAUUAAGCAAACCUGGAGGAUGUGGCUUAUCAGAAUGAUUGCUCAUUCUUCAGUGUUGAAUCUAGGCUGCUGGUUGCUCAGGAUGGUAGGAGAAUUUGCUGUAUAGGACAAAGGGGUCAGUAGCAGGUGUUGUUUAGUGGAGAGAUGAGGCAAUCUGUGACCUUUCGUCUGCUGCGGAGUAAGAGCGCAGCAGAGGAUGAUGCGUCUGAGGGGAGUAAAGAUGUGCAGUCCCCGUGACCUUGCCGCCAAAGAGUGCAUGUUGUAAUUCCAGCUAUUCAUAGAUAGUUCCUGGUGCCUUGUAUGCCUAUGCUAUCAAAUUCAAAUCCCCAGUGAACAGAGAAGCAACAAAUAAGACACUAGAUGUGAUUCAAAUCCCUAUGGAGAACAGAGAAGCCUUACUCCUUAUAAAAGAAUUGUGUGGCAGACUUGUUCCUUAUAAAGAGUUGCACGGUAGACAGUGGCCUGAACUCACCGGUCCUCUGGUAGGUCAAUGGCUAACAACCCUUUGGUUAUGAACUGGGUCCUCUGGUUGGUCGGUUGCUGUGAGCUUUAUAAAUCUUUUAUAAACAAAAUAAUGAAUGUCCUUACCCUUUUCCUUUUCCAAAAGGAUUAAUUUUGUUAAUCUGCUAACCUCUACUUAAGAUGGCGCACCUAUUUAUUUAUUACAAAUUUCACAAAAAAUAUAUCCAACAUUCUAUCGUCAAAGAAAAAACACCAGAUCAAGUAGAACCAACAUCUCAUAGAAACAAUCAUGUGGCGAUCACAAUGAUGCUAAUCUAGGAGUCACAUGAAGUACCCACUUAAAUUUAGUGGACCGGCUAGUUUGCACCAGAGGUGAAUGUUAUGCUAAUACUUCAAAAUACCCCUUUUUUAUGUAGACCUGAUCUCAAGUUGUAUAUUCAAAGUAUGUUGUGACUGAAGUUGAAUACAACAACUCCAAGCAUCUCAUUAUGAAAGAGGAUGACAUCAUUGGUAUUCUUGAAUCUGAUGAUGUCAAAGACAUGAAGCCUCUCAAUGACUGAGUUCUAAUCAAGGUAUUUAUAUCGAAUGUCAUGUCACUAAUCAGUAGCGUAUAUUUAAAUAAUUUCCAGUCAAUCUUGUAUUGGUUGUAUCUGCAUAAUGGUUAACAGUCCUAUCUGUCUUACAUUUGUGCUAGGUUGCCGAGGUUUCAGAUAAGGCCGAAGCUGGCCUUAUCCUCACCGAGACAACCAAGGAAAAGCCAUCCAUUCGAACAGUAAGUUAUUGCCAUUGGUUAAGAGUCUGCACUUUUUUUUCGACAAAGAAGAGUCUGCACUUAACUGGUACUCCCUCCGUUCGGAAUUACUUGUCACAGAAAUGGAUGUAUCUAGAUGUAUUUUAGUUCUAGAUACAUCCAUUUCCGAGACAAGUAAUUCCGAACGGAGGGAGUAGGUGUUAAACUAAUUCACCUCUUAAUGCAGGUUGUAGCUGUUGGUCCGGGCUCUCUCGACGAGGAAGGCAAGAGGUAGCCAUUGUCGUUGUCACCAGGUAGCACCGUGUUGUACUCCAAGUAUGCAGGCGGUGAGUUCAAGGGAGCUGAUGGCACGAACUACAUUGUGUUGAAAGUGUCUUAUGUGAUGGCUGAGCUCUCUUAAGUAUGCGGUUUAUUACUUUGUUUUAGUUUUGAGUUCACGAUAGAGGCAAGCAUGAGUGGUAAGAUUGCUAUGUGAUAACCACUUGAUGCUGUUUCGGAUGAUUAUAGAAUUGUACUCCCUCCGUCCGAAAAUACUUGUCAUCAAAAUGAAUAGAAGGGGAUGUAUCUAGAUGUAUAUUAGUUCUAGAUACAUCCCUUUUUAUCCAUUUUGAUGACAAGUAUUUUCGGACGGAGGGAGUAUGAGCAAACCUGUUGUCUGGGUUAAAAACAUUUACUGAAUUUGUUUACAAAGGGAGCUUUAUGCCUGUUUUCUCGUGCUUGGCUGAUUGCCUAUUGUUGUGGCACUAUCUAUGUGAAAGGGCCUAGACAUCUAUCUACCUGUGAGUGGGCUAAACAAUAAGCAAAGCUGGAGGAUUUGCCUUAUCAGAAUGAUUGCUCAUUCUUCAAUGUUGCUUCUUCGAACCAUCUAGCGACUAUGCAACCUUAUUUCCCUACGUGAACCAAAUCUAGGCUGCUGGUUGCUCAGGAUGGUAGGAGAAUUUGCUGUAUAGGACAGAGAGGUCAUGUACAUCUGAUGUUUAGCGGAUAGAUGAGGCGAGAUGAGACCCUCUGUCAGCAGCAGAGGAAGAGGGUGAGCACCUUUCAAAGCAUUUGAGUAAGAGGAUGGUGCGAUUCAGCGGAGUAAGAUGUUGAGGCCCAACGGCCUUGCAACAAGUGAGUGCAUGUUGUAAUUCCAACUAUUCAUAGAUAAUUCCUGGUUCCUUCCAUGCCUAUGCUAUCAAAUCAAAUCCCUGGUGAACAGAGAAGCAACAAAUAAUACACCAAAUGUGAUUCAAAUCCCUAUGGAGAACAGAGAAGCCUUGCUCCUUAUGAAAGAGUUGUGUGGCAGACUUGUUCCUUAUAAAGAGUUGCGCGCUAGACAGCGGCGUGAAGUCAUCAGUCCUCUGGUAGGUCAAUGGCUCACAAUCCUUUGGUUAUGAACUAGGUCCUCUGGUUGGUCAGCCGCUGUGAGCUUUAUAAAUUCCUUUUAAAAAAAUGAUGAAUUUUCUCGAAAGUACUCUUUUGCUCUCGAGCUCAGAUGAGCUUGGAUGAACAGUAAAAUAAAUAAAAAAUCAAAGCAUUCCUAUUUGUGAAAGGUGCAACAAAAAAAAUCAAUGCUCUAAAAUGCUUUCUAAAGUACCAUUUUGGAUAAUGUAACAUCAACUGAUUCAGUUUCCUUUUUGUGGGUGAAGACUCAGUUAAUCCAGCGAAACUUCAAAGGGGUGGACUAAUGAGAUCUUUCUGUCUAUCUGCUCAAGGUGUAACCGGAACCUUGGGUGAGAUGGGGAUCAGGGAGGUGGCUGCGCUAUAGCCUCGAGACACCGGGCACUGAGCGUAAUUAAUUUUCUAUUGAGCGUAAAACCAAACAUAAUUUGAGGUAAUUUGUUACAAACUGACCAACCAAACACAUAUAUGUAUUCUUGAAUCUGAUGGUGUCAAAGACAUGAAGCCUCUCAAUGACUGGGUUCUCAUCAAGGUAUUUAUAUCGAUUGUCAUGUCACUAAUCAGUAGCUUAUAUUGAAGGGAUUUCCAGUCGAUCUUGUACUGGUUGCAUGUGUAUAACGAUUAACAAAGCUUAUCUGUCCUGCAUUUGUACUAGGUUGCUGAGGCUUUAGAUAAGAGUGCAGCUGGUCACCUAGAUAACCAAGGAGAAGACAUCCAUUGGAAUAGUAAAUUAUCACCAUUGUUAGAGUCUGUGCCAAACUAGUACUCCCUUUCGUAAACUAAUAUAAGAGCGUUUAGAUUAUUAUUUUAGUGAUCUAAACGCUCUUAUAUUAAUUACAGAGGGAGUAGGUGUUUAACCAGUUCGCCUCUUAAUGCAGGUCGUAGCUGUUGGUCCGUGCUCAAUCGACGAUGAAGGCAAGAGGCAGCCACUGUAGGUGUCACCAGGCAGCACUGUGAUGUACUCCAAGUAUGCAGGCGACGAGUUCAAGGGCACUGAUGGCACAAACUACAUUGUGUUGAGAGUGCAGAUGUGAUGGCCGAGCUCUCUUAAAUGUGCGGUUUGUUACUUUGUUUCAGUUUUGUGUUCAUAAUGGAGGCGAGCAUGAGGGUUGAGAUUGCUCUGUGGUAAUCGCUUGAUGCUAUUUCGGAUGGUUAUAGAAUUGUAUGAGCAAACCACUUGUCCGGGUUAAAAACAUUUACCGAAUAUGUUUACAAAGUUAGUUUGAUGCCUGUUUCCCCCUACUUAUACAUUAUGUAUGUACAUUAGUGCUUAGCUGAUUGCCGAUUGUUGUGGCAUUACUUCUGUGGAAGGUUCCUAGGCAUCUCUCUUCCAGUGAGCGAGCUAAAAAGUGAGAAAGCCUAGAGGAUCUGGUCUUUAGGCAAGUCUGAUUGCUCAUUCUUUAAUGUUGCUUCUUUAAAUUAUCUAGGGACCAAAUAUAUGCCGCUGGUUACUCAGGAUGGCAGGAGAAUUUGCCGUAUAGGACAGCGUCAUGAUGUUGAACUGAUGUUUAGCGGUGAGACGAGGCAAACUGGGACCUUUGGUCAGCAGCAGAGUAAUAAGACGCCGACCUUUUGAAGCAGAAGAGUAGGUGGAUGAUGGAGGUCAGCGGAGUAAGAUGUGGAGGUCGAGCACCAUUGCGACCAGCGAAUGCAUGUUGUAAUUCUAGCUACUCAUGGGUAAUUCCUGGUGCCUUCUAUGCCUAUGCUAUCAAAUUGAAAUCUCUAGUGAAUAGAGAAGCAACAAAUAAUACACUAAAUGUGAUUCAAAUACAUGAAAUGAGUUAUCCCUAAGGGGAGCUUUGCUCCUUAUAAAGGAGUUGUGUGGCAGACUUGCUCCUUGUAAAGAGUUGUGCCGUAGAUGGUGGUGUGAAGUCAUCAGUCCUCCGGUAGAUCAAUUGCUAAAAAUCCUUUGGUUAUGAAUUGGGUCCUCUGGUUGGUCAGCCGUUGCGAACUUUAUAUAGAUCUUUUAAACAAAACAAUCAACUUAUUUGCCUUUGUUUUUCAAAAGGAUUAAUUCUGUUAAGCUUGCAACCUCUACUUCAAGAUGACACACCUAGACAACAAAUUAUUUAUUACAAAGUUCGCAAAAAAUUUAGCCCAACAUCAAAAGAUAAAACACCUGCUUAAUUAGAACCAACAUCUCAUAGAGUGACACUAAUUUGGGAGUCAUGAAGGAUCCGUUUAAAAUUAUAAAAUUAAUGGAGCAGCUACUUUGCACUAAAGCUUAUGUUAGAGGUGAAUCCUAUGCUAAUACUUCAAAAUACCCAGCUUGGACAGACGUUGAAUACAACAACUCUAAGCAUCUCAUUAUGAAAGAGGAUGGGAUCGUAGGUCUUCUUGAAUCUGAUGAUGUCAAAGACAUGAAGCCUCUCAAUGACCGGGUGGUGAUCAAGGUAUUUAUAUCUAAUGUCGUGUAACUAAACUAUACUAGUGUAUAUUUCAAGAAUUUUCAGUCAAGCUUGUACUGGUCAUGCCUACCGGUUAACAAUGCUUAUCUAUCUUGCAUUUGUGCUAGGUUGCAGAGGCUUCGAACAAGACUGAAGCUGGUCUUAUCCUCACCGAGACAACCAAGGAGAAGCCAUCCAUUGCAACAGUAAGUUAAUUAUCAUUAGGUAGAAAUCCAUGUUGAACUAGCAGGUGUUUAACUGAUUCACAUCUAAAUGCAGGUCAUAGCUGUUGGUCCGGGCACUCUCGACGAGGAAGGCAAGAGGCAGUCCCAUUGUCGGUGUUACGAGGUAGCACCGUGCUGUACUCCAAGUACGCAGGCCGUGAGUUCAAGGAAGCUGAUGGCACGAACUACAUUGUGUUGAGAGUGUCGGAUGUGACAGCUGAGCUCUCUUAAAUGUGUGGUUUAUUACUUUGUUUCAGUUUGAGUUCAUGAUAGAGGCUAGCAUGAGUGGUAAGCUUGCUAUGUGAUAACCACUUGAUGCUAUUUCGGAUGGUUGUAGAAUUGUAUAAGCAAACCUGUUGUCCGGGUUAAAAACAUUUACUGAUUUUUUUAGAAAGGAAGCCUGAUGCAUGUUUUCCCCUACUUCUACAUUAUGUAUUUACAUUAAUGCUUGGCUGAUGGCCUGAUUUUUGUAGCGAUAUGAUGAUUUACAAUAAUAUAGUCAUGUUAUUGAACUUUACUUCUAUGAAGUGUUCCUUGUGAUUGCAUAUUGUUACAGACAUUUAUCAUCCUAUCAGUGGGCUAAAAAGUUAGCACUUCUGGAGGAUCGGGCCUGUAGGUGAGCUAGGAGGAUCUGAGCUGCACUCAGGCCUAUGAUGCGCCUCAGGGGAGUAACAUCUGGAGGCCCCAUGACCUUGACGCUAGAGAAUGCAUGUUGUAAUUCCAGUUAUUCAUAGAUAAUUCCUGGUGCCUUCUAUGCCUAUGCUAUAAAAUUCAAAUCCCUAGUGAAUAGAGAAGUGACAAAUAAUACACUAGAUGUGAUUCAAAUCCCUAUGGAGAACAGAGAAGCCUUACUCCUUAUGAAAGAGUUGUGUGGCAGACUUGUUCCUUAUAAAGAGUUGCGCGGUAGACAACGGCGUGAAGUCAUCAGUCCUCUGGUAGGUAAAUGGCUAACAAUCGUUCGGUUAUGAACUGGGUCCUCUGGUUGGUCAGCCGUUGUGAGAUUUAUAAAUCUUUUAAACAAAAUGAUGAAUUUCCUCGAAAGUAUCCUUCUGUGCUCGAGCUCAAGUGAGCUCAGAUGAACAGUAAAAUCGAAAAGAAAUUCAAAACGUUCUGAAAACUUUUUGGUGGUAAACUUUAACAAAUGUUAUAAGUGUUUGUAGAUUUUCGUCAUGAGAUCACAAUCGUGAAAGGCGUGGCAAAAAAAAAA
rnacentral:lncRNA from 1 species